AUUGAACGCUGGCGGCAGGCUUAACACAUGCAAGUCGAGCGGGGUGAUGGUGCUUGCACUAUCACUUAGCGGCGGACGGGUGAGUAAUGCUUAGGAAUCUGCCUAUUAGUGGGGGACAACAUCUCGAAAGGGAUGCUAAUACCGCAUACGUCCUACGGGAGAAAGCAGGGGAUCACUUGUGACCUUGCGCUAAUAGAUGAGCCUAAGUCGGAUUAGCUAGUUGGUGGGGUAAAGGCCUACCAAGGCGACGAUCUGUAGCGGGUCUGAGAGGAUGGUCCGCCACACUGGGACUGAGACACGGCCCAGACUCCUACGGGAGGCAGCAGUGGGGAAUAUUGGACAAUGGGGGGAACCCUGAUCCAGCCAUGCCGCGUGUGUGAAGAAGGUCUUCGGAUUGUAAAGCACUUUAAGUUGGGAGGAAGGGCAGUAAGCUAAUACCUUGCUGUUUUGACGUUACCGACAGAAUAAGCACCGGCUAACUCUGUGCCAGCCGCCGCCGUAA
rnacentral:rRNA from 1 species